CGCAUCUGUGCAUGCAGCAUAUCAAUAAGCGGAGGAAAAGAAACUAACAAGGAUUCCCUUAGUAACGGCGAGUGAAGCGGGAAGAGCUCAAAUUUGAAAUCUUCAAGGUUUUACCUUGACGAAUUGUAGUUUAAAGAAGUGUUUUCUGUUGAAGUUUUGGUAAAAGUUCUUUGGAAUAGGACAUCAUAGAGGGUGAGAAUCCCGUAUUUGACCAUUAUUUUCAGCGGUGUGAUACACUUUCAAAGAGUCGGAUUGUUUGGGAAUGCAGUCCAAGAUGGGUGGUAAAUUUCAUCUAAAGCUAAAUAUUGGCGAGAGACCGAUAGCGAACAAGUACCGUGAGGGAAAGAUGAAAAGAACUCUGAAAAGAGAGUUAAACAGUACGUGAAAUUGUCAAAAGGGAAGCGUUUGACACCAGUGUUGUUUUCUCGAAAAUCAAUUAAAAAGAGUUAGAUUUUGUUGUGUAUUGACCUUAACAGCUUGCAUUUCAAUUUUCUUGCUUUUUUUAAUGCACUUUUCGUUUAACAAGUCAACAUCAGUUUCUUUUGUUGUAAAAAGGUCAUUGGAAGGUGGCUUUCUUUUCGGAGAAAGUGUUUAUAGUCUUUGACUCCUGCAAUCGGAGAGACUGAGGUCUGCAGCGUAGAUCCUUCGGGGUUAGAUACAUUUGUGCUAAGUUAUAGCUUUUUAUAGACAACUCGUUGACUAUGAUUAGUCUUGUAGCUUACUCGCUUAUGCUAUUUUACCUACGCUUAGGAUGUUGAACUCUAUCACACACAG
rnacentral:rRNA from 1 species